rnacentral:misc_RNA from 1 species
ACAAACUUGGUCAUUUAGAGGAAGUAAAAGUCGUAACAAGGUUUCCGUAGGUGAACCUGCGGAAGGAUCAUUAGUGAAAUAACCUGGGACUUUAUGUCCCAAACCAUCUCACAUCCACACACCUCUGUGCACCGUUGGACAGACUUGCCUCUGUCCUAUUUUUUAUUAAAUACAUUUUAUGCAUGUAUGGAAAGUAAUACUGAGAAACAAAAAAAAACUUUCAACAACGGAUCUCUUGGCUCUCACAUCGAUGAAGAACGCAGC